AACGAACGCUGGCGGCAGGCUUAACACAUGCAAGUCGAGCGCUGUAGUAAUACAGAGCGGCGCACGGGUGAGUAACACGUGGGAACGUGCCCUUUGGUUCGGAAUAACUCAGGGAAACUUGAGCUAAUACCGGAUAAGCCCUUACGGGGAAAGGAUUUAUCGCCAUUGGAGCGGCCCGCGUCUGAUUAGCUAGUUGGUGGGGU
rnacentral:rRNA from 1 species